AGGACGAACGCUGGCGGCGUGCUUAACACAUGCAAGUCGAACGGUAAGGCCCUUCGGGGUACACGAGUGGCGAACGGGUGAGUAACACGUGGGUGAUCUACCUUGCACUCUGGGAUAAGCCUGGGAAACUGGGUCUAAUACUGGAUAUGACCAUGUGAUGCAUGUCAUGUGGUGGAAAGCUUUUGCGGUGCAAGAUGGGCCCGCGGCCUAUCAGCUUGUUGGUGGGGUAAUGGCCUACCAAGGCGACGACGGGUAGCCGGCCUGAGAGGGCGACCGGCCACACUGGGACUGAGACACGGCCCAGACUCCUACGGGAGGCAGCAGUGGGGAAUAUUGCACAAUGGGCGGAAGCCUGAUGCAGCGACGCCGCGUGAGGGAUGACGGCCUUCGGGUUGUAAACCUCUUUCAGCAGGGACGAAGCGCAAGUGACGGUACCUGCAGAAGAAGCACCGGCUAACUACGUGCCAGC
rnacentral:rRNA from 1 species